AUGGAGCUGCCCAGCGCCGCGCUCGCGCUGAUCCUCGCCGCGGCGGCCACGCUCUCCGUCGCAGUGGCCUACGACCCGCUGGAUCCCAACGGGAACAUCACCAUCAAAUGGGACGUUCUCUCGUGGACGCCAGACGGAUACGUCGCGACGGUGACGAUCAACAACUUCCAGACGUACCGGCAGAUCAUGGCGCCGGGGUGGACGGUGGGGUGGACGUGGGCGAAGCGGGAGGUGAUCUGGUCCAUGGUGGGCGCGCAGGCCACGGAGCAGGGCGACUGCUCCAAGUUCAAGGCAAACCUCCCACACUCGUGCAAGCGCACCCCCGCCGUCGUCGACCUGCUCCCGGGCGUGCCCUACAACCAGCAGAUCGCCAACUGCUGCCGCGGCGGCGUCGUCUCCGCCUACGGCCAGGACCCGUCCGGCGCCGUCUCCUCCUUCCAGGUCAGCGUCGGCCAGGCCGGCACCACCAACCGCACCGUCAAGGUCCCCAAGAACUUCACCCUCCUCGGCCCCGGCCCCGGCUACACCUGCGGCCCCGCCAAGGUCGUCCCCUCCACCGUCUUCCUCACCGCCGACCGCCGCCGCAAGACCCAGGCCCUCAUGACGUGGAACGUGACGUGCACCUACUCGCAGCACCUGGCGUCCAAGUACCCGUCCUGCUGCGUCUCCUUCUCCUCCUUCUACAACGACACCAUCGUGCCGUGCGCCAGGUGCGCGUGCGGCUGCGAGCACAAGACCUGCGCCCGCAGCGAGCGGGACUCGAAGCGGCUCAUGCCGGCGUCGUCGGGGAAGAGCGCGCACGCGGUCACCGCGGCACUGCGCGGGCACGUGAACCGGCAGAGCGCGGCGCCGCUGCUGCAGUGCACGACGCACAUGUGCCCCGUGCGCGUCCACUGGCACGUCAAGCUCAACUACCACGACUACUGGCGCGCCAAGGUGACCGUCACCAACUUCGACUACCGCACCAACUACACCGGCUGGACGCUCGUCGCCCAGCACCCCAACCUCGACAACAUCACCCAGGUCUUCAGCUUCGACUACAAGCCCGUCGUCUCCUACGGCUCCAUCAAUGACACGGCGCUGUUCUACGGGAUGAAGUUCUUCAACGACCAGCUGAUGGAGGCGGGGCCGUACGGGAACGUGCAGUCGGAGGUGCUGAUGCGCAAGGACGAGAGCACAUUCACGUUCAGGCAGGGGUGGGCGUUCCCGCGGAAGAUCUACUUCAACGGCGACGAGUGCCGGAUGCCUCCGCCGGACUCCUACCCUUACCUGCCCAACUCCGCGCCGGCGCCGCUCGUGAGCUCCGCCUCCGUCGUCGUCGUCGCCUUCUUGGUUCUCCUCGUGGCAUGA
rnacentral:rRNA from 1 species